GAUGAACGCUGACAGAAUGCUUAACACAUGCAAGUCGAUUCGAAGUUUCUUUCGGGAAAUGGAGGAUGGCGGACGGGUGAGUAACGCGUAAGGAACUUGCCUUUUGGACUGGGACAACUGUUGGAAACGACAGCUAAUACCGGAUAUUAUGAGAUCUUCGCAUGGAGAACUUAUGAAAGCUAUAUGCGCCAAAAGAGAGCCUUGCGUUCCAUUAGCUAGUUGGUGGGGUAAUGGCCCACCAAGGCGACGAUGGAUAGCCGGCCUGAGAGGGUGAACGGCCACAAGGGGGACUGAGACACGGCCCUUACUCCUACGGGAGGCAGCAGUGGGAAUAUUGGACAAUGGGCCACAAGCCUGAUCCAGCAAUUCUGUGUGCACGAUGACGGUCUUCGGAUUGUAAAGUGCUUUCAGUUGGGAAGAAAAGUGACGGUACCAACAGAAGAAGCGACGGCUAAAUAC
rnacentral:rRNA from 1 species